rnacentral:rRNA from 1 species
UACGUAGGGGGCAAGCGUUGUCCGGAAUCACUGGGCGUAAAGGGCGCGUAGGCGGCCAUUCAAGUCAGGGGUGAAAGCCUGUGGCUCAACCACAGAAUUGCCUUUGAUACUGUUUGGCUAGAGACCGGAAGAGGUAAGUGGAACUGCGAGUGUAGAGGUGAAAUUCGUAGAUAUUCGGAAGAACACCAGUGGCGAAGGCGGCUCACUGGCCUGGUAUUGACGCUGAGGUGCGAAAGCGUGGGGAGCAAACAGG